UUUUGUUUUUACAAUAAACUAACGCUCCGGUGCAUUUGUUUGGCAGGGUGAGUUCUGCUUCAUGGUAUUUCCUGAAUGUAUUUGGAUUGAGAAGCAUUUACUCUCUGAUUCUUGGCCAAGACAAUGCUGCAGAUCAGUCACGAGUGAUGCAAGAGCAGAUGACUGGGGCAGCCAUGGCAAUGCCAGCAGACACCAACAAGGCUUUUAAGACUGAAUGGGAAGCACUAGAGCUGACUGACCACCAGUGGGCGCUGGAGGAUCUGGAAGAUGAGUUGCUGUCCAAGGGUCUGAACUUCGAAGGGAUGUUCAAAAAAGAACUUCAGACAUCCAUGUUCUGAGGCUUGAACUGCCUCUUGGAAUGAGGCCUAGCCAUGCAAAGUUUACAUUUUUUGUUUAUCUGCUUGUAUUGUAUUUUUUAAAGAUGCUAGUGCCACUUUGCAAUAUCUAACUGUGGUACAGGAAGGAAGUUAACUAUGUAGAACCCUUCUUUUAAUGUUCCAUAGAUUUCAUUGUGUCCAGAUAUUGAUAAUACAUAUAACUGCUCUUAUUUAUGCCUAGGAUCUUUCACAGCUAAGAUAAUCAUGUUAACAAUUUAGACAUUGGCAUCUGCUUAAGACAAAUGCUGGGAUGUUUGUUCUAUAGUUAUUAACCUAAAUCUAAGGCAUAUGUAUUAUUUCCAUUUGGU